GGCGUGAGCAAAAUGGCAACCAGGCCCGGAAGGUUUCCCCGGAGAUACGGCCGGCCGUGAGUUAUGUCCCUUCGGUAGGGCCGAUCUGUGCAGCAGCCCUUGGGGAGUAGAUAAGCCAGCCUGACAAGUGACCUUGACAGAAUUACAGCAGUCGUAUUUUCAGCUGGUUGAGCCAGUCGUGGCCAAUUUCUCUAGAGCGUUAGGUGCAAACAGGUCCGCGACUCCACGUUGCACGCGCGCGCGCGUCUGCCUCUUCCCCUUCGCUGUUUAAAGUAUUUACCCUGUGGCUUGUACAAGCGACAUCUUUCUCUUCCCUGGUGAGCAUGAGCGUCUCCGGUCUCCCCUCCUCCCUCCGCUGGGCGGGCAGCGAAGCAACGCGGACAAGGAUCUUGUUCCAAGCCCAUUGAGCAGUGCUAGCGUGUAGUGACCUUCUGCACCAGUAAUUCCGUCUUUCGGGGAUUGAAAUUGAUUUUCCUCCUCUCUGUGUGUGAGCACAACCCGAGGGUACAGCUCCGUUCAGAAAGCUGAUCUCAGCAAUCAUUUUAUGCUAGUGGCUCAAGUUGGCGAGAGAUUAUUUGACACUAUAGUUCGGCCUCCUCUUCCUGAUGUUGCAGGAUCCCCACCAGAAACCACGAUGAAUCUUUCCAAGACCACUUAGAAGGCCGAAAUCAAGCCUAACUUGCAACCAAUUCUGAAGAAAGUUGAAAUUUUCUUUCCUUUUAAUGAGUGCAAACCAGUGCAACCCCGGAACCCAAAGGUAUUCACUCUCGAGAAGUGAAUGAUUUAAUAUUUGACUAGGAAGCCCACGACAUGGUUCAGAAUUCUAGGAGAAUAAAAAUGUAGUGUGGGUUUUAAAUACGUCUGUAAAUUCUUUGCCAUUUGCCAUUCCUUCUAUCAAGAGAGAGAGUCGGAUUCCUCUCCCCUUGAAUAUAAACAGGCCUUAGUGACCCAGUUUCUUGAAGGUCCUUCCA